UCGGGAAUAUUGCGCAAUGGAGGAAACUCUGACGCAGUGACGCCGCGUGCAGGAAGAAGGUUUUAGGAUUGUAAACUGCUUUAGACAGGGAAGAAACAAGACAGUACCUGUAGAAUAAGCUCCGGCUAACUACGUGCCAGCAGCCGCGGUAAUACGUAGGGAGCGAGCGUUAUCCGGAUUUAUUGGGUGUAAAGGGUGCGUAGACGGGAAAAUAAGUUAGUUGUGAAAUCCCUCGGCUUAACUGAGGAACUGCAACUAAAACUGUUUUCUUGAGUGCUGGAGAGGAAAGUGGAAUUCCUAGUGUAGCGGUGAAAUGCGUAGAUAUUAGGAGGAACACCAGUGGCGAAGGCGACUUUCUGGACAGUAACUGACGUUGAGGCACGAAAGUGUGGGGAGCAAACAGGAUUAGAUACCCUGGUA
rnacentral:rRNA from 1 species